CUCCAGACUCCUACGGGAGGCAGCAGUGAGGAAUAUUGGUCAAUGGACGGAAGUCUGAACCAGCCAUGCCGCGUGCAGGAAGACGGCUCUAUGAGUUGUAAACUGCUUUUGUACAAGGGUAAACCUGAAUACGUGUAUUCAGCUGAAAGUACUGUACGAAUAAGGAUCGGCUAACUCCGUGCCAGCAGCCGCGGUAAUACGGAGGAUGCGAGCGUUAUCCGGAUUUAUUGGGUUUAAAGGGUGCGUAGGCGGACAGUCAAGUCAGCGGUAAAAAUGCGGUGCUCAACGCCGUACAGCCGUUGAAACUGGCAGUCUUGAGUGGGCGAGAAGUAUGCGGAAUGCGUGGUGUAGCGGUGAAAUGCAUAGAUAUCACGCAGAACUCCGAUUGCGAAGGCAGCAUACCGGCGCCCGACUGACGCUGAGGCACGAAAGCGUGGGUAUCGAACAGGAUUAGAUACCCUCGUACAC
rnacentral:rRNA from 1 species